rnacentral:rRNA from 1 species
GUGGCGAACGGGUGAGUAACACGUAAGUAUCUACCUUGUAGCGAGGAAUAGCCCAUCGAAAGGUGGGGUAAUACCUCAUACGCCCUUAGGGGGAAAGGCUUAGGCCGCUAUAAGAGGAACUUGCGCGCUAUCAGUUUGUUGGUGGGGUAACGGCCUACCAAGACUACGACGGCUAGCCGAUGUGAGAGCAUGAUCGGCCACAAGGCUACUGAGACACGGAGCCUACACCUACGGAUGGCAGCAACCGGGAAUUUUGCGCAAUGGACGAAAGUCUGACGCAGCAACACCGCGUGUGGGAUGACACUCUUCGGAGCGUAAACCACUGUGGCGAGGGAGGAAGUUCUGACAGUACCUCGCUAGAAAGCACCAGCUAACCACGUGCCAGAAGCUUCGGUAAUACGUGGGGUGCGAGCAUUAUCCGGAUUUACUGGGCGUAAAGGGUCCGUCGGCGUCCUUAUAAGUCGAUUGUUUAAGCCCGAGGCUCAACUUCGGAACAGCAAUCGAAACUAUAAGGAUAGAGUCUUAUCGAGGAAACUAGAAUUCAUGGUGGAGGGGUGAAAUCCUUAGAUAUCAUGAGGAAUACCGAGCGCGAAGGCAGGUUUCUAGGUAAUGACUGACGCUCAGGGACGAAAGCUUGGGUAGCAAAGCGGAUUAGAGACCCGUGUAGUCCAAGCCGUAAACGAUCCUUGCUAGUUGCAUGAACGUAUGUUUGUGUGACGUAAGCUAACGCGUUAAGCAAGGCGCCUGGGCAGUACGAUCGCAAGAUUAAAACUCAAAGGAAUUGACGGGGGAGCGCACAACCGGUGGAGCAUGUGGUUUAAUUCGAUACAAAGCGAAAAACCUUACCCAGAUUUGACAUGUACCUACACGUCCUAAGAAACUAGGAUUUCUUCGAGAGUGGUACACAGGUGAUGCAUGGCUGUCGUCAGCUCGUGUCGUGAGACGUCCACUUAAGUGUGGUAACGAGCGCAACCCUUAUUGCUAGUUAUACAUGUCUAGCGAAACUGCCCCUGCUCUGCAGGGGAGGAAGGAGAGGACGACGUCAAGUCAGCAUGUCCCUUACAUCUGGGGCUACACACAUCCUACAAUGGAGCCGACAACAGGUAGCGACGGGGUAACCCCGAGCCAAUCCUCUAAACGGCCCCUCAGUUCGGAUUGAGGGCUGCAAUUUGCCCUCAUGAAGUCGGAAUCGGUAGUAACCGCAAAUCAGCAGGUUGCGGUGAAUACGUUCUCGCUCCUUGUACACACUGCCCGUCAAGCCAGCAAAGUCGGCAACGCCCGAAGCGGGUGACCGUAACCCUCACGGGAGCGGCCCUUCUACGGUGAGGUCGGCGAUGAGGACUAAGUCGUAACAAGGUA